AAUCAAAGAGAAGGCACACAAUGAUUAUUAAACAACUAAUUACGAUUAUUUAAAAACUAAUUCUUAUUUGGGAAACUAAACAUCAAAUCUACUUUUUCAGUGUCUUUUUGUCUGUCACUUGCUUCUAUAUUCCCUUUCCUUAAAAAUAUAACAACCGUCUCUAAUUCAAGACAACCUAUUCGAUACUCAUUAUUAUAUUCAAGAAUAGCCUUAUUUAAUUCAAGAAAAAAAAAGACUAUAACAACUAUCUAAUCGAAUUAAAAAAUGA
rnacentral:lncRNA from 1 species